rnacentral:rRNA from 1 species
CCUACGGGAGGCAGCAGUGGGGAAUAUUGGGCAAUGGAGGAAACUCUGACCCAGCGACGCCGCGUGCGGGAUGAAGGCCUUCGGGUUGUAAACCGCUUUCAGUAGGGAAGAAGCGAAAGUGACGGUACCUACAAAAGAAGCACCGGCUAACUAUGUGCCAGCAGCCGCGGUAAUACAUAGGGUGCAAGCGUUGUCCGGAAUUAUUGGGCGUAAAGAGCUCGUAGGUCGUUUGUUACGUCGGAUGUGAAAACCUGAGGCUCAACCUCAGGCCUGCAUUCGAUACGGGCAAACUAGAGUUUGGUAGGGGAGACUGGAAUUCCUGGUGUAGCGGUGGAAUGCGCAGAUAUCAGGAGGAACACCAAUGGCGAAGGCAGGUCUCUGGGCCAAUACUGACACUGAGGAGCGAAAGUCUGGGGAGCGAACAGGAUUAGAUACCCUGGUAGUCCAGACCGUAAACGGUGGGCACUAGUUGUGGGAACCUUCCACGGUUUCUGCGACGCAGCUACGCAUAGUGUCCCGCCGUCGGGAGGUACGAGUCGCGAGAGUAAACUACGAAAGAAGUAGUAACGGUCGUGUUAGAGUGCGACGGACGACGACGAGGGAGGAGG